rnacentral:rRNA from 1 species
UACAGAGGUCCCGAGCGUUGUUCGGAUUCAUUGGGCGUAAAGGGUGCGUAGGCGGCGCGGUAAGUCGGGUGUGAAAUCUCGGAGCUUAACUCCGAAACUGCAUUCGAUACUGCCGUGCUUGAGGACUGGAGAGGAGACUGGAAUUUACGGUGUAGCGGUGAAAUGCGUAGAUAUCGUAAGGAAGACUAGUGGCGAAGGCGGGUCUCUGGACAGUUCCUGACGCUGAGGCACGAAGGUCAGGGGAGCAAACGGG